AAUGGCAUCUAUAGCAUGACCAGCUUGUCCAUGGAAUCCAAGAAGCUUUCCUCCAUUUUCACUUUUUAGAUUGAAUUCUUCUCCACUCAUCUCACCGAAUAAUGCAGAGGUAAAUCCUUUCGAGGUUGUGAAGUAUAGCGAUGUGAUAAGCGUUGUAUCGUAGUUGAAUAUAUGAUUAUAGCUUCCACCAACGGCUGUGAUAUAAUCAUUCGGAUUAUUCACGGAAAACUGGAUUUCAUUUUCCAUCACGAAAAAAAACUAAUGAUUAAGUUCUUCGAAGAAAACCAAUCGAAUAUGAAUGUUAACCUUUUUUUUUUUGAACAACUGAAUAUAUUAGAACUUAAAAACUGAAACAAAUGAAGGUUUAGACCCAAAGGCUAGCCCAUAACAAAGCAAGAAGGAAACGGAUGGGCCUUAAGGGCCACUUUAGCUAGAUAGUCUGCCUCUCUGUUCUGGGAACGGGAGAUAUGCAGAAAUUGGAUGCGAUCAAAGUUUGCUGAGAGAUGCUUGAUAUCCUGAAGAACACCAUAGAUCUCCUUGAUCUGACUUUGGGUUGAGAUUGCUCUGAUGAGCGUUGCGCAAUCGGAGUGAAACGAAACUGACUUCUUCCCUAGACUUAGGGCUUCUUUGAUUCCUUGUCUGAGCGCCAGCGAUUCCGCCAUGAGGGGGGAAGCCACAUUGUCUAUGAUCUGGGAUCCUGGAGGAGAGUUGGUCCCUAGAUCGUUGGUGAAAUGCCAAGCGAUACCUGCUCGGUUGGAGGAGGCAUCCCACGCUGCGUCUACGAAGCAAGAGGGGUAUGAUUGGAUUCCUGGUAUUUGUCGUCGGCUUGGAGCUUGGGGGAAUACUUGGUUUCUCUUCAAUUGAUCGGUGCUCUGAGCUAGGUCCCAUUCAAGUGCAGCUGCAAGCCCUUUUGUCGCUAUUUCGAGUGGUUGAGCCGUUUUAUCAUCGAAAAUCAGCUUGUUUCUUGCCGUCCAUAGUGACCAGCAGAUCCACGGGAGCACUGGUGAUCUGAUGCCUGUAGGAGGGAGACAGAGGGCGCUUCGGAAUUGCCCCAUAUAGGAUUCAAAAGUCUCUGCAUCAGCUAGGUGAACUGAUGAGUUGAGAGGAAUGUGGCGCCAUACUUCUUUGGCAAAGGGGCACUGGAAGAAUAUAUGGGUAGCUGAUUCCUCUUUCUUACAGCGGGGGCAAGCAGCAGCAUUGAUCAUACCUCGACGUUGGAGUUCUGAUCCUAGAGGUAAAGCUCCCUGUAUAAUCGACCAUAAGAAAAGCUUAAGUUUUGGCGCUGUUUUGAUUGACCACACAUCUUUCAGCCAGUCGAAUUCCAGGUUAGGAGGAGGAUUUGAGGUUCUCUGUUGCAGGUGUGUGUGUGCAUUGAGCUGGGUUUUAGAGUUGUAACCCGACUUAGUGGAGUAGACACCAGACUCAAGGGGGAGCCACACGUAAAUAUCCUCUGCACCUUCCUUGCUUGGCUUAAGACACUGGAUCUGCUUUGUAAAGUCUGGUAAGAACUUAUCGAUCUUAUCCUUGUUCCACUGAAGGUCAUCCGUUAGUAGAUCAGAAACUCUGAGGUCCAGUCCCGCCUCUUGUACUGGUCCAUAGGGCUUUAAUGGGGCUUGGAGUGAGAUCCACGGAUCCUUCCAGAGUCUAGUGUUCUGACCAUUGCCAAUUGCUCUUCCUAGGUGUUCUUGGAGUAGGUCUCUACCGUGCAAAAUGCUCCUCCAUCCAUGCGAGCAAACUGCUGGGGUCUGUACAUCCAGGAAGCUUUUCUUAUGGCAAUACUUCCCGGUGAGUACUCUAGCUAGAAGGCAGUGUGGUGAUGUUAAUAUUCUCCAAGCUACUUUUGCAAGUAACGCUUGAUUAAACCGUUGGAUAUCUCGCAACCCAAGACCUCCUGCCUUUUUUGGUCGUGUAAGUUUUCCCCAUGCUACCCAGCACAUGUUCUUCUUGUCAGGAGAUUUGUCCCACCAGAAACGCGUUAAUGAUGAUUGGAUUCUGUUGCAGAGGCUCUGGGGUAGUAUGAAGCAAGACAUUGCAUAGGUUGGGAUAGCUGUAAGGACCGCUUUGAGCAUGGUGAGCUUGCCUGCUCUCGAGAGGAAGCGUGUUGACCAGUUCGCAGCUCUCUGUCGGAUUCUAUCAACUAUCGAGGUAAAUAAAUCCUUCUUUUUUCUUCCGAAAUGCUCUGGUAGGCCUAGAUAUUUACCCAUCCCACCCUCCUUUUGGAUCCCCAAUAAGUCUUUUGCUGCUUGUUUUACCUCAGGGGGUGUUUUUGAUGAGAAGUUGAUUGCAGAUUUGGCAAUAUUAACCUUUUGACCUGAUACACUUUCAUAAUCUCGCAGUAUCCGUAGUAAGGCUAGGCAGCUUUCUGAAGUUGAGUUGCAGAAAAUCAUUGUAUCGUCAGCAAAAAGUAGAUGAUUGACUCGGGGGCAGCCUCUAGCAACUCGAACUCCCCGCAUUGAUCCUUCUAACUCCGCUUUUCUGCAAAGGCCUGAGAGGACCUCUCCGCAUAGGAUGAACAAGUACGGCGAGAUCGGAUCUCCUUGCCUGAUUCCACGGUGAGGUUUGACCAGACCAUAGACUGAAUCAUUUAUCAGAUAGGAGUAGGAAACCGAUGUGAUACACUGCAUGAUCCAAUUGAUCCAUUUUUCAUGAAAACCUAGGCGUUUCAUUACUUGAGCUAUGAACUCCCAUUCCACUCUGUCGUAGGCCUUUGACAUAUCCAUCUUGACUGCCAUUGCACACUGUUUUUUAGCUUGUGAAGUCUUGAGAAAUUGCAGUACCUCAUGCGUAAUUAGAACAUUAUCUGUUAUUGCCCUUCCAGGAAUAAAAGCGGAUUGGUUCUCUGAGAUUAUGGAGCAAAGUAUGGGUUUCAGGCGCAAGGAUAGGAGCUUAGAGAUGACUUUAUAGUACACAUUGCACAAAGCUAUAGGUCGGUAUUCAUCCACUCUUUUCGCUCCUAAUGUCUUAGGGAUCAGCCUAACAUGAGUCACAUUCAAUGUUGGUGACAAUACGCCCGUGGAGAAGAACUCUUGGAUCUCAGUGAUGAUCGAUUGGCCGAUGGUCUCCCAAUUUGAGUGGAAGAAACUUGCUGAGAACCCGUCAGGCCCGGGAGCCUUAUCUGCGUGGAUUGCAAAGAGUGCUUCUUUUAUUUCAGCCGGUGAUGGGUCUCUGGUAAGCAGCUCGUUCCAUUCCUGAGUUACACAGGGCUUGAGCGCUUGGGAGAUCGUUGAAGAAAUUUCUCCUCUUUGAUUUGCAGUGAAGAGGUUGUCAUAGUAGGAACAGACUAACGCUGAGAUUUGGUCUUCUUCAUAGACAGGUAUGCCAUCCUUAUUCUCCAUAACCGUUAGCCUGUUUCUUGCCUUUCGCGUCUUUGUCACUGCAUGGAAAUAGCCAGAGUUUGAGUCUCCUAGAGUUAGCCAAAGAAGUCGACUUCUCUGUUUCCAGUAUGCUUCUUCUGAAUUAUAAGCUUUUAGGAUGAGUUUAUUGAUAUCUUGGAUCCUGUCCUCAUCUGGGUCGUCCUUAGUCAUCUGAUCAUCAAGCUCUACUCGUAGAUUCUCAAUGGUUUGUUUGCUAUUUUCCUGGAACAGCUUGCACCAUUUACAAAUUGCUCUGCGGACUAAGACGAGUCUAGCCUCUACUCCAAGGUAAGUACAGUUUUGCCAGAUCUCCGCUACCAAUUCUUUAAUCUCUUUUUGAUCUUUUAGGCGUCUGUCAUAGCGGAAUAAGUUAUGGCCUUUCUUUCUUGUUGUAUCCAGGUAGGAGAGGAUAGGGCGGUGAUCAGAUCCCUCGAAUUUAAGAUAUUGACAGCGGCAGGAGGGGAAGAGCUCCAUCCAUUCUGGGUUGCUCAUAGCUCUGUCGAGGCGACAUCUAACAAGGUGUGCACCUCUUUUACCCCUCCAAGAGAAAGGGUUACCAGAAUGUUUGAGAUCAAACAGGUCAUUUUCAGAUAGGAAUGUUCUGAAGGCUCCAAAGGUGCCUUCUGCUCUCUCUGGUCCUCCUUUUUUCUCACUAUUAUCUUGCAGUUCAUUGAAAUCCCCUGUUAAGAACCAAGGUUCCUUUAGGUUAGCAUGUAGAGUAGUUAGCUCGUUCCAGACUGCAUUACGUUUUGUGUGAUCAGGUUCUCCGUAAAGAAAGGUAGUCAGGAAGCUCUUUCCUUUGGAACUGAUUCUCGUUUCAAUGAAGUUGUCUGUCGUAGAAAGGACAGUAAGAUCAAUGUCUUUUUUCCAACUGAGAAUCAGACCACCACCGCCGGGGCUAUGGGGGGAACUAUGCAGUUAUUUUCCUCUUUCAGCCAGGGGAGUUCCUUCCUAAUCAUCUCUUCUGAGUUCUUUGUUUCCAUUAGGAACACUAUGUCAGGAGACUUCCUUUUCCGAAGCUCCUUCAGACGCUGGACUGUUAUGGGGUUCCCCAACCCACAACAGUUCCAGCUCAGAACGACUAAGGAGCCUGGGGAGGGGGAACCCGAAAAUCCAUUUUCUUCUUCGACAUAGCUGGAAUUAGUUGGAUAGGUGGGUUCUUUGGGUUCUCUGAUGCCUUGUUACCCGACUUUGAAGCUUCCCCGCGAGUACGUCCUUUGUUUGGUACAUCAUUCUUUUGUUUUUUGUUAGCUCCUGGUGAGUGAAGAAUUUGUGAUAAUCUUCUUUUCUUUGUGCUGGCUCCUCGCAGGACAUUAGUUCCGCUUCGUGGUGAUCUUGCUUUAUGAUGUCGCACCGUUCUUUCCCUUACUUUGUUUUGGAAGUCAUUAAGAGUUUCUUCCUCCUGCAGCUCAGGGAUUAACUGUUGUUGCAGAGGAGAUGUUUCCGUCGUCUCAGGGGGGCUAACAAUAAUUGAUCUAAUGCGUGCAGGGUGUUCUCUGACUUCUUGCACCCGGAGAGUGUUAAUUUGGGCAGGUUCAACACUAUAAGGUGGGUCAAAGCCUAGAUCUUCUUCUUCUCUUGGGAUGGGGGUGAAGAUUUGGUCUUGACGUAGUCCCAUAAGAGACCCCUCUCCCGGUGGGCUUAUUGACUUGAUGCCUUGCUCCCAAGGUGAAAGCGGGCGUCUCGGGGUUGUUUCCGAAGCUAGGAUUGAAGCUGCUGUCUUUUCCACUAAGCCUGACGCCUCACUGUUAAGGACCCGUUGUCUCCUAGCUGCAGCUUCAGUAGGAUCUGAACAGCUAAGGUAUUGGAGUGUAACUGCAUUAAGAUCCUCCAAGACUUGCUCUUUUGAUCUAAUAGUGACAUGGUUAUGUCUUGUUUCUUCAGGCGCUAGGUAGUUCUCUCGGCGGCCUUGGGCUUUUAGCAGUGCAGCUGUGGUCUCUUCUACCUGGCCUCUAUCAUCUCCAAACUUUACUCUCUGCCUUCUGGCUGCUGCCUCUGUGGGGUCUGAGCAGCUCAGGUACAGCAUAGUUGCUUCGUGAAGGUCCUUUUGAAUUUCCUCUUCAGUUUGUUGUCCCUCUGAGCUUUGGUGGUAUUGGAGUUGUAGAGGUUCGGUUCUGGAGUCACGACGCUCCAAAUGAUUUGAGCUAUCUUUUUGUGCUUCAGGGACCGUUACUGUCGUAGGUUUUACUCUCCAUUCUUUGAGUUCCCUUUGUGGGAAAGGGGCCCGCUUGUAGUGUUCUCUUAUUGCAGCUGGUUCUCUUCUUGUUGUGUAGGAAGGAGAUGAGUAGAUCACGGGUUCCGGUUCUUUGAGGUUAGAAUCUUUCCUCCAAGUUUCUGCUAUAUCGCUUUUGGACAUCAUGUUUUUUGUGGGAGGUGGAACUCUUGUUUGUUUUGUAGCGACUCUAGUACCAAAGCUAUUGCCAUGUCUGUCAACUCUAUCUUUGAAAGGCCUAGGGCUUCUGGUUUCUCUGGUCGUAGUCCCCUGCUUUUCUCCCUCACGAUGCAAUGAGGUGUGAUCUUGUUCCAUGUUGCUGUAGAGGAGGGGUCUGGCAUUAGAAAGAUCUCUCUCGCUCAUCUCUCUCACCUUUGUUUCCUGGUGCUGAGUUGUAGCUUGGUUAUCUCCUGUGAAGCUAGGACAAUCUUUCUUGAGAUGGGAGAGGGCAUUGCAGAGGGAGCAGUGGUUCUCUAGGCGCUCGUAUUCCAGAUGAAUUAAGCUUUCCUCUCCAGAGUCAAACUCGACGAUGGAUUUUUUAACCAAUGGUUUAAGUCCAUCGACUAGAACCUGGAUUCUCGCCAAGGUUUUUGUGAGCUCAUGAUUCAUGAGUGUUCCCAGAUCCUUCCCUAUGUCGCGCAGCAUAUCUUCAUGCCAGAAGUGGAGGGGUAGUCCUUUUAUUCGGAUCCAGAACGGGAUCUGCGAGGGGAAAGUCGCUGAGAUGACUGGUUCCCAUCGUUGGAGUAUGACCAUCCAGUACGCAAAGUGGUAGGGUCUGUUUUCCAGAACUCGCUUUAGAUCUUCUUCUCUUUCAAAUCUGAAUUGGAAGCAGCCAUUUCCCAGAUCUGAGCCUGAUACUCUCCCUUGUAGUUGCCAUUUGCGUGGGAGGGCAGGGAUAAGAGCCCAAAUUCUCUGUUCCUGAGGGUUAGUGGUUCUUCCAAUCAGUGUGAGCGCAUUAUCUUUGAUGAGAGCAGAGUUAUCAACGUAGGGCGCCUUGAUUCGUUUGAUAAGAGGUUCAUCUUUCUCUACCAGUUGGUUUUUGCCUUUCUCAUCCCAUGUCAAUCUUCUUGCCAUCUUUACUUUUCAGUAAUCUGGUGAGACGGAAGUCUUGUUCUGCACGGAAGUGGGGAUGUUAGAUACCAGCUUGACGUUUCUUGAGUGUAUUAGAUGCUAGAUGCAAAAGAAAGCCGUAGAUCUGUGGAGUAAAACUUGUUGAGGCAUGAGGUUUGAAAAGAUGAGCUUCGUGGAGGAUGCUACUUGAGGUAAAGAAGUAGGGUUUUCAUCAAAGAGCCAUGAAGAAACCGAUGAGAACUUUCCGGUUUGAGCAAAGAUACGAGUAGUCACUGUCCUGCUUUCAACCGUUGUCUAAAGUCGUCUCUCUUACUUUGGGAAUAGUGCCUGGGAGAGUCCUUUCUCACCGAGGCGUAUGAGGCAUACGAGUCGAAUAUGAAUGUUAACCAAAAUCACAAAUUUAUUUAUUUGUUUUGACCUCUUUUAGCUCCCCCCGAUUUGUCCCGUGUUCACGGAUUUCGACUUUUCCAUCCUUUACGUAUUCGAUCUUGAUAUAAGUUACGCUGUAUAUGUCUUUCCCCACAGUUAUUUUCUGCACACCAUCGAAAAUACCAUCAUCAAAUGUGUUUCCCUUCUCACCACCGACCGGUCCUAUCUGUGUGGUAGUGGGAGCUGGAGCUGGAGCUGGAGUGGCACUGGUACCGGGAGCAGCAGCGGGAGCUGGAUGGGGACCUUGGCCGGGAGCAGGACCGGGAGCUGGACGGGGACCUUGACCGGGAG
rnacentral:lncRNA from 1 species